rnacentral:rRNA from 1 species
CAUAGCGACUAUCGUGGCAUAUCAAUAAGCGGAGGAAAAGAAACUAACAAGGAUUCCCUUAGUAACGGCGAGUGAAGCGGGAAGAGCUCAAAUUUGAAAUCUUCAAGGUUCUACCUUGACGAAUUGUAGUUUAUAGAAGUGUUUUCUGUUAGUGGAGUGGCAAAAGUUCUUUGGAAUAGGACAUCAUAGAGGGUGAGAAUCCCGUAUUUGGUCAUUCCUCCUAGCGUUGUGAUACACUUUCAACGAGUCGGAUUGUUUGGGAAUGCAGUCCAAAAUGGGUGGUAAAUUUCAUCUAAAGCUAAAUAUUGGCGAGAGACCGAUAGCGAACAAGUACCGUGAGGGAAAGAUGAAAAGAACUUUGAAAAGAGAGUUAAACAGUACGUGAAAUUGUCAAAAGGGAAGCGUUUGACACCAGUGUUGUUUUUCCGAAAAUCAAUUACGAAUGUUUUGUUUUUGAGGAGUUAUGACUUCAUCGGCUUGCUCCUUUCUUUACGAAACUUUCUUAAUGCACUUUUCGGUUAACAAGUCAACAUCAAUUUCUUUUGUUGUAAGAGGGUAUGAGGAAGGUGGCUUUCUUUUCGGAGAAAGUGUUUAUAGCCUUGUAGCCUCUGCAAUCGGAGAGAUUGAGGUCUGCAGCGUAGAUCCUUCGGGGUUAGAUACAGUUUGUGCUAAGUUAUAGCUUUUCAUAGACAACUUGUUGACUAUGUUUAGUCUUGUAGCUUACUCGCUGAUGCUAUUUUACCUACGCUUAGGAUGUUGAUAGUCACAGCGUGUAC